UCGAUGUCUAGGGGUUCUGAGAGGAUGAUCCCCCACACUGGUACUGAGACACGGACCAGACUCCUACGGGAGGCAGCAGUAAGGAAUAUUGGUCAAUGGAGGAAACUCUGAACCAGCCAUGCCGCGUGCAGGAAGACGGCCCUAUGGGUUGUAAACUGCUUUUAUAUAGGAAUAAACCUCUUCUCGUGAGAAGAGCUGAAGGUACUAUACGAAUAAGGACCGGCUAACUCCGUGCCAGCAGCCGCGGUAAUACGGAGGGUCCUAGCGUUAUCCGGAUUUAUUGGGUUUAAAGGGUGCGCAGGCGGGCCUGCAAGUCAGUGGUGAAAUCCCGGGGCUCAACUCCGGAACUGCCAUUGAUACUACAGGUCUUGAGUUUGGUUGAAGUGGGCGGAAUGUAGCAUGUAGCGGUGAAAUGCAUAGAUAUGCUACAGAACACCGAUCGCGAAGGCAGCUCACUAAACCAAAACUGACGCUCAGGCACGAAAGCGUGGGUAGCGAACAGGAUUAGAUACCCUGGUAGUCCACGCCGUAAACGAUGAUUACUCGUUUUGGCAACAUAUCGUCAGUGACCAAGCGAAAGCGAUAAGUAAUCCACCUGGGGAGUACGUUCGCAAGAAUGAAACUCAAAGGAAUUGACGGGGGCCCGCACAAGCGGUGGAGCAUGUGGUUUAAUUCGAUGAUACGCGAGGAACCUUACCUGGGCUCAAAUGUAAGUUGACGUAUAGGGAAAGCUAUAUUUCUUCGGACAAUUUACAAGGUGCUGCAUGGUUGUCGUCAGCUCGUGCCGUGAGGUGUCGGGUUAAGUCCCAUAACGAGCGCAACCCCUAUUCUUAGUUGCCAUCAGGUCAUGCUGGGGACUCUAGGAAAACUGCCUACGCAAGUAGAGAGGAAGGUGGGGAUGACGUCGAAUCAGCACGGCCCUUACGUCCAGGGCUACACACGUGCUACAAUGGCCGGUACAGAGGGCAGCCACUGCGUGAGCAGGAGCGAAUCUCGAAAGCCGGUCUCAGUUCGGAUCGAAGUCUGCAACCCGACUUCGUGAAGCUGGAAUCGCUAGUAAUCGCGCAUCAGCCAUGGCGCGGUGAAUACGUUCCCGGGCCUUGUACACACCGCCCGUCAAGCCAUGGAAGCUGGGGGUACCUGAAGUCGGUAACCGAAAGGAGCUGCCUAGGGUAAAACUAGUGACUGGGGCUAAGUCGUAACAAGGUA
rnacentral:rRNA from 1 species